rnacentral:lncRNA from 1 species
GAUUUUAUGUGGCUCCAUCACUCCCUGGCAGACCACAGUAACGGCCACGACUCUGCUCCACUUCCUGUGAUGGAUACCGCACGGCUUCUUCACUCUCUGGCAAGUCACGACAAUGGAAACCGCUCUACUCUCCGCAACAGACUUCACGUGGCAGGUCACGGUGAUGACCACGAUUCCACUCCACUACUCCUCAUAACAAGCUCCUUCUGGCCCCCGAACGGCCCACUACCA